GCAUGUGCAAAUGGCAGCUCAGACGAGGUGGCCGCACCCGCUAGCAGUUGGGCUGCUUUAAGGUCCUAACAUUUCCGAACAGGUCCGAACAAAUAACAAAAGGUCCGAACGGCGACAUAACAAAAGGUCCGAACGUAGGUCCGAACACUUCCGAACGAAGGUCCGAACACUUCCGAACGAAAAAGACCCGGAUGAAGAAAAAGACCCGGAUGUAGCAAGCCGGCGCACAGUGACGUGGAGGAGGAGGCUUCGCGUGUCAGCCAUGUUUUCCGCCGCAAUGAAGAAACAAUCGGAGAAAGAUGACAAAAACAUGGAAGCCGAGUAGCUACUGGAAGGACAUCUGCUUCAAAUAUGCCCGGGGCCAAUUCCAUUUUUCAAUUGGUAAACAGCCAGGGUCCAAGAAAUGGAAAACGGCUUUCACCGACACCAGCGCACUUUUGUUCCAGAUACCCCCAGAAGGCUAGAACAAAGGCAUGGGUUUCAGCAGGACCAUGGAGAGCAUCCAGGUAGCUGAGUGGCUCUGCUCCUGGAUUGCAGGUGGCAGAAAGACUCUACAUGACUCACGGCCAAGCAGCCUAAGACCCUGAAGUCAACAGAGUCAGUGAGUGUUUGCCUCACACUUGUCGAAGAGUUUGAGCAAGCACACAACAGGCUGUCUCUUAAUGGCUGCUUAGGAGGGAUAAGAGGAAGGACAGGGACAUGCUGCUGCAAGGCAAUGUACUUCCCAAACAGCUGCACCUGGCCAAAGAGCCUCUCCUCCAGUGAACACACUCCCGGCUGCCCCUGUGCAACACGCACAUUAAGUCAUGACUUUUGAAGAGCCUGAAAACCAUGAAGGAGAAGCUUUCCUCCGCCAGCGCACUCUGGCAUCCUAGAAGGAACCUGUGUGUUGUACCCUCCACAGUACGGGCCAUCUCCUCCGUCCCAGUAUCCUUCAUUUUAUCAUCUAUUUCUGCACUCUCAGUUUGCCCAUUAUCCUCCAUUUACACAUGCUCCUCCAGCGCAGCAUCCUCCUCUAUUUAACAAUGCUCCUCCAGUACAGCAAGCUCUUCACCAAUAUUUGUGACUUUGUUCGUCACAUCCUUUUUGCACACAUUCAUUUGUACUUUGCUCUCUUUUAUUUAUAUGGAUGACUGGAGGAGGAAUUUGCAGUAGUAGGUGUCACCAAUAUUCGUAACUUUAUUUGUCACAUCCUGUUUGCACACAUUCAUUUGCACUUCGGUAUCUUUUAUAUUUUAUUUUUUAAUACUAUAAUAUAAUAUAAUAUAUAUUAUGAAUAUUCAUGCAAAAAAUAAAAAGAAUUGCUGUCCUUACUAUGUGGUCAUGUUAUUAUUAACUGUUUUCUCCUUGGUAAUUUGUUUUAUUCUGAAUUUAUUUUCAUUGAGAAGACAUACCUAAUAAUCAUUCAAACAUAAAAUAAUCUUGCAGAUAAUUAAACUUUUUGAAAAGAUGAGAGGAUAUAUUAUGUAAGGGCCAUCUACAUUUACGUAUAUGUACACACACAUUGUUUUGGUCGUACAAGCACUGGUAGGUCUAAUGUGCCGCACUGGAUCAGUUGGUUGUGAGUUCAAAUCCCAAAAGAAACAUGACUGUUAAAGUGCCAAAACACCUAGUGAUGAAUUGACUAUAAACAUUGUUGAGAUGAUAAAGCAAGAAAAAAUGCAAAUAGUGCAGAAUUUCCUCUUUUUUUUCUCCUUUUCUUUUUCCCUCUUCCCCCUCUUUUCCCCCUCCUUCCCCCUCGCAGGCAGUCCACUAUGCCCCUUUUUGACGUGGAGGAGGAGGCUUCGCGUGUCAGCCAUGUUUUCCGCCGCAAUGAAGAAACAAUCGGAGAAAGAUGACAAAAACAUGGAAGCCGAGUAGCUACUGGAAGGACAUCUGCUUCAAAUAUGCCCGGGGCCAAUUCCAUUUUUCAAUUGGUAAACAGCCAGGGUCCAAGAAAUGGAAAACGGCUUUCACCGACACCAGCGCACUUUUGUUCCAGGUACAUUUGCUUCAAGAUACCCCCAGAAGGCUAGAACAAAGGCAUGGGUUUCAGCAGGACCAUGGAGAGCAUCCAGGUAGCUGAGUGGCUCUGCUCCUGGAUUGCAGGUGGCAGAAAGACUCUACAUGACUCACGGCCAAGCAGCCUAAGACCCUGAAGUCAACAGAGUCAGUGAGUGUUUGCCUCACACUUGUCGAAGAGUUUGAGCAAGCACACAACAGGCUGUCUCUUAAUGGCUGCUUAGGAGGGAUAAGAGGAAGGACAGGGACAUGCUGCUGCAAGGCAAUGUACUUCCCAAACAGCUGCACCUGGCCAAAGAGCCUCUCCUCCAGUGAACACACUCCCGGCUGCCCCUGUGCAACACGCACAUUAAGUCAUGACUUUUGAAGAGCCUGAAAACCAUGAAGGAGAAGCUUUCCUCCGCCAGCGCACUCUGGCAUCCUAGAAGGAACCUGUGUGUUGUACCCUCCACAGUACGGGCCAUCUCCUCCGUCCCAGUAUCCUUCAUUUUAUCAUCUAUUUCUGCACUCUCAGUUUGCCCAUUAUCCUCCAUUUACACAUGCUCCUCCAGCGCAGCAUCCUCCUCUAUUUAACAAUGCUCCUCCAGUACAGCAAGCUCUUCACCAAUAUUUGUGACUUUGUUCGUCACAUCCUUUUUGCACACAUUCAUUUGUACUUUGCUCUCUUUUAUUUAUAUGGAUGACUGGAGGAGGAAUUUGCAGUAGUAGGUGUCACCAAUAUUCGUAACUUUAUUUGUCACAUCCUGUUUGCACACAUUCAUUUGCACUUCGGUAUCUUUUAUAUUUUAUUUUUUAAUACUAUAAUAUAAUAUAAUAUAUAUUAUGAAUAUUCAUGCAAAAAAUAAAAAGAAUUGCUGUCCUUACUAUGUGGUCAUGUUAUUAUUAACUGUUUUCUCCUUGGUAAUUUGUUUUAUUCUGAAUUUAUUUUCAUUGAGAAGACAUACCUAAUAAUCAUUCAAACAUAAAAUAAUCUUGCAGAUAAUUAAACUUUUUGAAAAGAUGAGAGGAUAUAUUAUGUAAGGGCCAUCUACAUUUACGUAUAUGUACACACACAUUGUUUUGGUCGUACAAGCACUGGUAGGUCUAAUGUGCCGCACUGGAUCAGUUGGUUGUGAGUUCAAAUCCCAAAAGAAACAUGACUGUUAAAGUGCCAAAACACCUAGUGAUGAAUUGACUAUAAACAUUGUUGAGAUGAUAAAGCAAGAAAAAAUGCAAAUAGUGCAGAAUUUCCUCUUUUUUUUCUCCUUUUCUUUUUCCCUCUUCCCCCUCUUUUCCCCCUC